UUUAACCUAAAUAAUUCAACCAUACCAGAAUUUUUGAACAACUAAUUUUCUGUCAGAACAUUUUAAAUAAAUACUUGAUAAGCAUACUGAUAUAAUUUUAACUUAUUUUGACUUUAUCAAAUGUGUUAUAUGCAAAUAUAAAAUGAUGAUGUUGCUAUAAUUCUUGUAAAGAGAAAGCCAGGUUGUUAGAAGGGGGAAAAAAUGGAUAGUUUCAAGGUAGGGAGGACUUGAUCUGCAAAGAAUUGAUAAUGAGAUGUGUUGUAUUUUAUGUCAGUUAUUAGUGACUGAAAAAUCAUUACAGCUCUCUGGUGCUCUUUGUGAAAUUGUUUGACCUGCCAUUUUAAUACAUAGCUUCAUACACACUCACUCUACAAUGUCUGUGGUCUCUUAUAUUUUAAUAAUUUCGGGGUAGGGUAGAGGAGUUAAGAACAAUGACUACUUCAUUUUAUCGGUUUCCAAAAACUUCAUAAUUGUAUUCAGACACAUUAUUAGCAAGUAUUGCAAAAAGCUUACAUGGUUUAUCUUUAUGUUCUGUCUAGUCUGAAGAGAUAAAGCAUACCAAUGUAAAAAAGAUAACUACUUAGAAACAUGUCUUUUGUUGAUAUACACAGGAAGAAUGUACAAUAUCAAAUAAAUCUUUUUGUGAAAAUUCCUAACAGAACAGGCAGUUAAAUGAAACAGUCCUUCUCAAUAAGGCACUUAAAGACAGCAUAUUUGAUCAACAUUUAGCAUUUCUUAGUCAUCAGAAGUUUUUGAGGUUUAAAAAACACUGUGUAUUGAAUAUAGUGAUAAUGCUCAAUUUUUAGCAUGGUUCUUUGAAAACUGCUACCAUAACCUAGUAUUUUUGGUGUAGAAAGAAAAUCAACCCUAUAAAUACGUAUUUUGGUGCAGAGCUACAGAGCCUUUUCCUGUUUCAGUCACAAAGUCUAGGUUAAAAACAACAAUUUAAAAUACUUUCCAGAAGGCUCAAUACAAGGUUUUAGUGCCAAGAUAAACAUUUUUAAUUUUCUGAGGAAAGGGGUUGUUUUUCUCCUGAAAGAAGCGCUAUCACCAAAUUCCUAGUGUUCUUGGCAGAAGUUAGUUUGAAUAACUCAAAAAAAGAGGUUUGGUAAAUGGUAAAGUAAAACUAUUUAUAAAGUACUACAACCAAACAAAACAACGUUAUAUGUUUGUUAUGUGUUCGGAAUGAACAAACAAUAUUGUUGUACAUAGCAGUUAACAGAGCCAAUGGCAUUAGAAAAUUUUAUUCUUAAGAUUCAAUUUUAUUAUAUAAAUAUAGAUAUCUGAGGACACAUUUAUUACAUUUAUUAACAAUUAUUUUAGUUUUAAUUGUAUAAAACUGAAUAAGAAAACAUCAAAUUAUAUCAUCCCCAGCACUCCAUUUAUGGUAACUUCCUUUGAGAAGAGAAUAAGGGAAACAUCUUAUGUUAGAAAUGAGUCCACAUAUGUUUUUAUCCUAAGCCAUAACUGGGAAAAAGAGAAACAAGACCCUGUUUCAAUAGAGAGAAAAGGUGCCAAUUUUUUUUAAAAGAGAAAUUUGAGGAAAUAGUUUCAUAAGUAUUUUCUAAAAGUGAUAUGAUGUGAUGAUUAUAGUAUGAAUUUACUUACGAAGCAACCCAAUGUUCUUAGUACUCAAAUUAUGGUUAUCAAAGUAUAUAGAGAAAAUAUCAUACUUUUGCAUAGCAUUUAAUAGUUUUUUUUUUUUACAGGCAUAGUUUUUUUCACAUAUAUUAUUUCACACAUGGUGAUCUUGAUUUUUAAUUUGUAAACCAAAAAUAAAGCUUACAUUCAGAUGGAAUCCUGGGAACAUUUCUGAGGCUUGGGAUGAAGAAUGGUGGCGAUGUGUGAAGAGAGAGUUCUAGUUUUGUUCUAGUUCUUAACCAGCUGGCCAUUCAGCCAUCCAGCUAUCUAUUAAUACCAAAACAUACUAUGGAUUCUGUUAGGAAUUGCGGUACAAUAUUUUGAAGAUGUUUUGAAAGAAGUCUUUCUAUACAACCCCAGUGAGCAUUCUUCAUAAUGGUUCUGCCUCUUUUGUUCAUUUUAUUAUUUUGUAUAUUACCAUCAUAGCUUCGCCUUAGAGCAUUAUCUGUCACUAUCAAUUUAGGUCAAGCGGAAAUUAUAGUUGAAAAUUUUAUAAAAUAUUUUGUCUCAUGCAUCCCUUUAAAAUAUUUCUUUACUUUCAAAUAUGUAUUUAUGGGUAAAACAAUCUAUGUUUUUUUCAAGCCAAAGAAUUAAUCAUAGUUGUUGAUUCAGGUUUGACUGGGAUCAUCCCAGCAGUCAUGUAGAGAAAAGAAAUGAGUUUCUUUUGAACCAGUAGUUCUCUUUUGUUUUAAUCGAGAAGCAAAGGAAAGAAUCAACAACACAAACAUCAUAUCAAAACUAUUACACUUAAUCUUGCUCACAAAAAAGUAAUGAAACAUGUAGCACUUUUAAAAAUUAUGUUUUAUUUUCUACAUUAGGUAUCUGUGUAUGAAGAACACUAAUAUUUUUUAAAAAGAAAUAAUUCAGCUUCAUUUUUCUUUAAAUGAUUUGAUUUAAAACAGUAUUAUAAAGCAUAUUAUGACAGCUUCGAUCCCAUCCUAGUGAAUAGCUAGCUAGAAAUCCUUUCCACCUGCCUUUUCAGAGGCAGCAACAAAUCUGAGUUUGUUAUGUAGAUAUAAAGGCUCAGACUUGUUGUCAUAGCACAGACUCUACAGAUUAUAUGACGAUUCACAAUAGACAUAUCUCAAUCUGAUAUAAACAUUGAAAAGCAUUGCAUUUUUAGUUAGAAACCAGUGCAAAUUAAAGUUUAUUGUGUUUUAAACAGACUUAGAAACAGUAGUGAUACCUACCAUUUGAUGAAUUCUGGUCAAUUCAACUCUGAAGGCACAAAUAAUAAAGCAUUUCAUUAGUUUCAAGACAAAGAUGUAGUGUGUGUAUUUAAGAAAAUGACACUAUUUAUUGGCUGCACAACCUGCAGUUCUUAUGUGAAAGACAUUUAUGAUUGUUCUGUAGUCUGUUUAGAUAAACUUAACUUAAUAUCUUUGAAAUAACUUUAACAGUAAGUAAAGAACUUUUGAUCUGAGUCUUUUAGCCAUUUCAUAAUUUUAAUGAUAGUCCUUUAAAUAUUAGCUAGGUUCUAUUUUUUAAAGUGUUGCCUAGACACACACAGAAAUCCAGUCUAGAAAAUUACAUAUGGCAUUCAGAGCAUAAAAGUUUUACUUUAGGGUUAAGAGUGUUUGCCUUAAAUAACUAGAUUUUUAUUUUGAAGAGGUUACUUCUAGUAAUAUAGAGAGUGAAUUGGAGGUUUGGAGGGGGUAUAAUGACAAGUAAUGGGAGGGUACCAUUCUAGUUAUCCAGGAGACAAAUGAUGAAGACAUAACUGAGAGUUAUGGUAAUGAUGUGGUGAAGAGUGGAUUUAGCUAAGAUAUGAAGAUUGCUGCUUGGAUGUAGAAAAACAAAACCUUGGCAGAUGAGAAAAUUAGAAGAUGUAUGGAAGCUGAGUACAGCUUUUGCAAAUGCUGAGGUUGAGAUGCUUUUAGACAUUCCUAUAGAAAUACAUAGACAUAAUUGGAUAUUUGGAGUUCAGGAGAUAAAAUAGAAGCUUUUAUUGACUGUCAUACUAGCAGUUUAAUUUUAGACAAAUUACAUAACUUCUGUGUAUACCUGUUUCUUUAUUAAAAAGUGUUAAAUAUUAUAUAGACCUAGCGGGUUUUGGGGAUUAAAUAAGACAUUAUGUCUUUUAAACUUUUUGGAUGUGACCUAAAAUAAGACCUACUUUUUAUAUUGUGAAUAUACGCACACACUUUUUAUAUUGUGAAUAUAAAUUCAGUUUACUUCAGUUUCCCAGAAUCAUACUUAACUUUACUACAUUUAAUACAUUUGGAUAUUUUCUAAUCUAAUUUAUUUAUUUAAAAAGCUGGGUUCACCUCAUGGGUAGCUAGUACUGAAAACACUGAGCUAAUACGUGAGCACCUGGCACAGCGAUUGGUACCUUAGAAAAAGUAGAGUUAAAAGUAGUGAUUGUUGUUUUUAAACUAGGAAAAAAAGUUAAUUAAAAUAGAGAAUUUCAGAAAGGAGGACAUUAUCUUUAGUAGUAUUGCUGUAGAUAUAUUCAGUAAAAAGUAUGUGUUAAAAAGUAUUCAUUUGCUCUAGCAAUCUGGUGGUCAGUGGUCACCUGCUAGAGAAAUUUCUGUAGUUGAGUAAGAAAUAAAUGUGACAUGUACACUUUAAAUAUAUGCAAUUAUAUUUGUCAAUAAAGUUAGAAAAAAUAAAAUAUAAAAAAAUGUGAGAUGAGGAAGUAAAAUGAGUAUAGUAAACACAAGAAGUUUGAGAAUAGAAGAGUAGGGCAAGUUAUUACAGGAUUAAGUGUUUUU